rnacentral:rRNA from 1 species
AGCGAACGCUGGCGGCAGGCCUAACACAUGCAAGUCGAACGGAUCCUUCGGGAUUAGUGGCGGACGGGUGAGUAACACGUGGGAACGUGCCCUUUGGUUCGGAACAACUCAGGGAAACUUGAGCUAAUACCGGAUGUGCCCUUCGGGGGAAAGAUUUAUCGCCAUUGGAGCGGCCCGCGUCUGAUUAGCUAGUUGGUGAGGUAAAGGCUCACCAAGGCUACGAUCAGUAGCUGGUCUGAGAGGAUGAUCAGCCACAUUGGGACUGAGACACGGCCCAAACUCCUACGGGAGGCAGCAGUGGGGAAUCUUGCGCAAUGGGCGAAAGCCUGACGCAGCCAUGCCGCGUGAAUGAUGAAGGUCUUAGGAUUGUAAAAUUCUUUCACCGGGGACGAUAAUGACGGUACCCGGAGAAGAAGCCCCGGCUAACUUCGUGCCAGCCGCCGCCGUAAUAC